CAAUGGGCGAAAGCCUGAUGCAGCAACGCCGCGUGCGGGAAGAAGGCCCUAGGGUUGUAAACCGCUUUCAGCAGGGAAGAAGAUGACGGUACCUGUAGAAGAAGGUGCGGCCAACUACGUGCCAGCAGCCGCGGUGACACGUAGGCACCAAGCGUUGUCCGGAUUUAUUGGGCGUAAAGAGCUCGUAGGCGGUUCGGUAAGUCGGGUGUGAAAACUCUGGGCUCAACCCAGAGCCGCCACCCGAUACUGCUGUGACUUGAGUUCGGUAGGGGAGCGGGGAAUUCCUGGUGUAGCGGUGAAAUGCGCAGAUAUCAGGAGGAACACCAGUGGCGAAGGCGCCGCUCUGGGCCGAGACUGACGCUGAGGAGCGAAAGCGUGGGUAGCAAACAGGAUUAGAUACCCUGGUAGUCCACGCCGUAAACGUUGGGCACUAGGUGUGGGUCUCAACCAACGAGAUCCGCGCCGUCGCUAACGCAUUAAGUGCCCCGCCUGGGGAGUACGGUCGCAAGACUA
rnacentral:rRNA from 1 species